AGUGAACGCUGGCGGUAGGCCUAACACAUGCAAGUCGAACGGCAGCACAGUAAGAGCUUGCUCUUACGGGUGGCGAGUGGCGGACGGGUGAGGAAUACAUCGGAAUCUACUUUUUCGUGGGGGAUAACGUAGGGAAACUUACGCUAAUACCGCAUACGACCUACGGGUGAAAGCAGGGGAUCUUCGGACCUUGCGCGAUUGAAUGAGCCGAUGUCGGAUUAGCUAGUUGGCGGGGUAAAGGCCCACCAAGGCGACGAUCCGUAGCUGGUCUGAGAGGAUGAUCAGCCACACUGGAACUGAGACACGGUCCAGACUCCUACGGGAGGCAGCAGUGGGGAAUAUUGGACAAUGGGCGCAAGCCUGAUCCAGCUAUACCGCGUGGGUGAAGAAGGCCUUCGGGUUGUAAAGCCCUUUUGUUGGGAGAGAAAAGCAGCAGGUUAAUACCCCGCUGUUCUGACGGUACCCAAAGAAUAAGCACCGGCUAACUUCGUG
rnacentral:rRNA from 1 species